rnacentral:rRNA from 1 species
GACGAACGCUGUUGGCGUGCCUAACACAUGCAAGUCGAGCGAAGUGAGUACUACGGUACGAACUUAGCGGCGGACGGGUGAGUAACGCGUGGACAAUCUACCCUGUAGACUGGGAUAACACCUCGAAAGGGGUGCUAAUACCGGAUAAUGUCGAGUAGCGGCAUCGCUUUUCGAAGAAAGGAGAGAAUCCGCUAUAGGAGGAGUCCGCGUCCCAUUAGCUAGUUGGUGAGGGUAACGGCCCACCAAGGCGACGAUGGGUAGCCGGCCUGAGAGGGUGAACGGCCACACUGGAACUGAGACACGGUCCAGACUCCUACGGGGGGCAGCAGUGGGGAAUAUUGUGCAAUGGGGGAAACCCUGACACAGCAACGCCGCGUGAGCGAAGAAGGCCUUCGGGUUGUAAAGCUCAAUAGUAUGGGAAGAUAAUGACGGUACCAUACGAAAGCCCCGGCUAACUACGUGCCAGCAGCCGCAGUAAAAC